UCCAGCAUGGAAUCUUAAGACCUGUCGAAUGUCGAAAUGUCUGUCACUUUAGUGCAUUUUGUCUCAGCAGAGUGACAAAUCUCAACCAUCAUAAAUGCGCUGGUUAAAAUAGACUUGUGAAGUCGUUUUUAUUUAUUUGACUUGUAUUAUGUACGGUUGCAUUAGAAAGUUUGUCUCAGAGUUCAAUAAUCAAAUAGACGCCAGAGGAAAUUUAUCUCUCUUCCAUAGAAUGUCUGCAGUGAAUUAAUAAAAUAUGAGUGUAGAAGAAUGUCCAUAUUGUGGAAAGCCCUUCAAAAGGCUGAAAGCUCACCUUCCUUAUUGCAAAAUGGCACCAGUUUCACAACCUAAAAAGAGCAUUCAAAUGCCCAAAGAACUUAGUGUGACCACUCCCAAACAGAAGAUCCAUAAAAACAGAGCAAUAACAGAGAGGACUAAGGUCAUCGUUGAUGAGAAACAGACUUCCGAUGGCAAGAGGGAAGAAGAUAGAUUGGGUAUAAAUAUUAAGUUAAUUGAAAAUGCAAACAGUCCUCUCGCAACUGCAGAGGUUAAAGUCACAUCAGCUGAAACUCUGAACAAAGAGAGGCUUAAAAGCAAAUGGCUUAUUAAAAGACAGAAGGAAAUUGAAAGAUCACAACAGCUAGUGCCAGUCUUACAGAAGUCAAAAAACCCUACCUCAAUAUCGAAGCAUGGAGGAGAUAAAAGCUUUCAUGAGAUCUCCAAAGAACCAACUCAAGGACCAUCUCAAUCUAAUGGAAAAACUACUAAAGGCAAAAAGAAGCUAAAGCUGACAACAUUAUCAGGGCAGUUGUCCAUCACCAAAAGUAGGGAAAAAGUCUCUGAACUUGUGCCAGCCAAUCUUAAAAACGUAAGCCUCCCAGAUGAAUGGAGUUUGCAACAUGAAAUACCAAAACUCAGAACAAUAGUUAAGUACUUAGGGGAGCUAGAAUGUCUUUCAAACAGCCUGAGCAAGGAUUCUGCUAAGGUAUCAAGAGUAAAAGAGCAAAAAGCUCUUCCUUUAUUUACAUCCAAGACUUCUGUGUGGGAGCACAUCAACGAAAGCUUGUAUUUUAGAAGAGCUAAUAAUGUUUCAUUGCCUUAUCCCAUUAUAGAAGCACCAAAAGAUUUUGCUUUUGAGACCAAAGAUAUUUCUGACACUGUGCAACAUUUAAACAAGCUUGAAGCAGUGGCUGCCAAUGUUGCCUCUACACCUUUACUCUCUUCCUUUGAAACCUCCAUUCAACGACCUGUAAAAGAUGUGCUAAGUUCAAGAUUGAGUCUAGCAUGGAAUCCAGAGAUAGUGACCGCUUACAACCGAAUACUGUUCUCUGCAGUACCUUUAGGAAGCUACUCUAAUGAAAAUAUGUGGAUGAAGAAUUGGGUUUCUGUGCCAUCCCACCAUAUUGAAGGUUUACAUUUUGGUACCUUAAAAACUGUCAUGCACAGUCCUCAGUUUCUAGGAUUUCAGACUGAUAGUGAAUGAGCUACACUUUCUUCAGCUUGACUGGAAAGGGCCACUGGUCCAUUGGAGGUAAGGAAAUAUUAUGUGAAACUGUUUCUCAUCUCAUUCCCUUGUUUUACUAUCUUUUCAUUCAUUCUUUCCCAAGCCAUUGUUAUUGUGGUUUCAAGUUGAUCUCAAAUUACAGAAUUUGUGGCAUAAAAACAUUUUGACUUAACUGUCCUUUUCUUAAACAAAUGUAGAUAUUAAAGUUGCAGUGGAGCACUUACUGUGGAAGUGAAUAGGGCCAAUGUUUGGAGGGUUUAAAGGCAGAAAUGUGAAGCUUAUAAUUGUAUACAUUUUAAAAGCACUCACAUUAAUUCUUCUGUUAAAGUCAUAUUUUUUAUUCAUUUUAGGGUUUUAGGGUUUGUUUGCAUUAUUUCGUCAUGGCAAAGAAGUUGUAAAAUUGGCUAUAAUUUUACACAGAAAAGGUUAGUAAGUGAUUUGAUCACAAUAAAAUCAUGUUAACAUACAUAUUUUUUAUGUCUUGUGGCUAUUCUUUUGAAAUAGUGAGCCUUUUAUAGUUUAUGGAUUGGCCCCAAUUACUGCCAUUGUAAGUGCCUCGCUUAAACUCUUUUAAAUAAACUCUUUUUUAAACUCAGAAUAUUACUUUAAACCAGUUCUCAUCACAUUCAAGUUGAAAUGCAGUUCAAUUUUAUUGGAAUUCGUCUAAUUAAUUCUAAUUACAAGAAAGACUAAAAUACAUUGUGAAAUUACAGUAUAUCUAAAUUGUAAACAAUGCCUUUGUUCAUGUAGUGCCUCUAGUGGAGCAGAAACUUGGAGAUGUCAGGUUGAAUGAACUUGGUGACUGGUUUGGUGUUCAAAUUCCAAAAUCACCCAGAGAGAUUGUGACCAUAUUGAACCAAGGUUGGCAGUGGUACUACAGGAAGUAUAUUAAUGUUCGUAGAGGAGGAAUCGGUGGGAUAUCCAUGCUGUUUGCUGGCUACUGUGUCCUGUCUUACAUAUGGAAUUACCCACAUCUAAAGAAAGAACGCUGGAGGAAGUACCAUUAAGGACCCUUAGUAUUUGUUGGUAACUUGCCAACAUUAAGUUUUUUGGUGUGAAGUGUGAAGAAAAUAAGUUUUUGAAUGUCUGCAAUGUCAAAACUGUGACUGAAGUAUGAAUUAACAAUGUUGAUGAGAAGACAAACCUAUCUGGUAGACCAGAUAACUCAGUAUUUAUGUUAAGAACUCCUUAAUGUUCAUUUAUAAGAAAAGAAGUUCAUGUUUUUAAGCUUUUUUUUUACUAAUAAGUUUUGUCAUUUUAAUUGUGUAAUCAAGUGGACUUACCUGAGUUCUAAUAAAUAAUAAUUAUACAAA